AUUGAACGCUGGCGGCAGGUCUAACACAUGCAAGUCGAGCGGCAGCGGGAAAGUAGCUUGCUACUUUUGCCGGCGAGCGGCGGCCGGGGGAGUAAUGCCUGGGAAAUUGCCCAGUCGAGGGGGAUAACAGUUGGAAACGACUGCUAAUACCGCAUACGCCCUACGGGGGACAGCAGGGCACCUUCGGCCCUUGCGCGCUCGGCUAUGCCCAGGCGGGGUUCGCGAGUUGGUGAGGUAAUGGCUCACCAAGGCGACGAUCCCUAGCUGGUCUGAGAGGAUGAUCAGCCACACUGGAACCGAGACACGGUCCAGACUCCUACGGGAGGCAGCAGUGGGGAAUAUUGCACAAUGGGGGAAACCCUGAUGCAGCCAUGCCGCGUGUGUGAAGAAGGCCUUCGGGUUGUAAAGCACUUUCAGCGAGGAGGAAAGGUUGAUGCCUAAUACGUAUCAACUGUGACGUUACUCGCAGAAUAAGCACCGGCUAACUCUGUGCCAGCCGCCGCAGUAA
rnacentral:rRNA from 1 species